rnacentral:rRNA from 1 species
AGCGUACACGGUGGAUGCCCUGGCAGUCAGAGGCGAUGAAGGACGUGCUAAUCUGCGAUAAGCGUCGGUAAGGUGAUAUGAACCGUUAUAACCGGCGAUUUCCGAAUGGGGAAACCCAGUGUGAUUCGUCACACUAUCAUUAACUGAAUCCAUAGGUUAAUGAGGCGAACCGGGGGAACUGAAACAUCUAAGUACCCCGAGGAAAAGAAAUCAACCGAGAUUCCCCCAGUAGCGGCGAGCGAACGGGGAGCAGCCCAGAGCCUGAAUCAGUGUGUGUGUUAGUGGAAGCGUCUGGAAAGGCGCGCGAUACAGGGUGACAGCCCCGUACACAAAAAUGCACAUACUGUGAGCUCGAUGAGUAGGGCGGGACACGUGGUAUCCUGUCUGAAUAUGGGGGGACCAUCCUCCAAGGCUAAAUACUCCUGACUGACCGAUAGUGAACCAGUACCGUGAGGGAAAGGCGAAAAGAACCCCGGCGAGGGGAGUGAAAAAGAACCUGAAACCGUGUACGUACAAGCAGUGGGAGCACGCUUAGGCGUGUGACUGCGUACCUUUUGUAUAAUGGGUCAGCGACUUAUAUUCUGUAGCAAGGUUAACCGAAUAGGGGAGCCGAAGGGAAACCGAGUCUUAACUGGGCGUUAAGUUGCAGGGUAUAGACCCGAAACCCGGUGAUCUAGCCAUGGGCAGGUUGAAGGUUGGGUAACACUAACUGGAGGACCGAACCGACUAAUGUUGAAAAAUUAGCGGAUGACUUGUGGCUGGGGGUGAAAGGCCAAUCAAACCGGGAGAUAGCUGGUUCUCCCCGAAAGCUAUUUAGGUAGCGCCUCGUGAAUUCAUCUCCGGGGGUAGAGCACUGUUUCGGCAAGGGGGUCAUCCCGACUUACCAACCCGAUGCAAACUGCGAAUACCGGAGAAUGUUAUCACGGGAGACACACGGCGGGUGCUAACGUCCGUCGUGAAGAGGGAAACAACCCAGACCGCCAGCUAAGGUCCCAAAGUCAUGGUUAAGUGGGAAACGAUGUGGGAAGGCCCAGACAGCCAGGAUGUUGGCUUAGAAGCAGCCAUCAUUUAAAGAAAGCGUAAUAGCUCACUGGUCGAGUCGGCCUGCGCGGAAGAUGUAACGGGGCUAAACCAUGCACCGAAGCUGCGGCAGCGACGCUUAUGCGUUGUUGGGUAGGGGAGCGUUCUGUAAGCCUGUGAAGGUGUACUGUGAGGUAUGCUGGAGGUAUCAGAAGUGCGAAUGCUGACAUAAGUAACGAUAAAGCGGGUGAAAAGCCCGCUCGCCGGAAGACCAAGGGUUCCUGUCCAACGUUAAUCGGGGCAGGGUGAGUCGACCCCUAAGGCGAGGCCGAAAGGCGUAGUCGAUGGGAAACAGGUUAAUAUUCCUGUACUUGGUGUUACUGCGAAGGGGGGACGGAGAAGGCUAUGUUGGCCGGGCGACGGUUGUCCCGGUUUAAGCGUGUAGGCUGGUUUUCCAGGCAAAUCCGGAAAAUCAAGGCUGAGGCGUGAUGACGAGGCACUACGGUGCUGAAGCAACAAAUGCCCUGCUUCCAGGAAAAGCCUCUAAGCAUCAGGUAACAUCAAAUCGUACCCCAAACCGACACAGGUGGUCAGGUAGAGAAUACCAAGGCGCUUGAGAGAACUCGGGUGAAGGAACUAGGCAAAAUGGUGCCGUAACUUCGGGAGAAGGCACGCUGAUAUGUAGGUGAAGCGACUUGCUCGUGGAGCUGAAAUCAGUCGAAGAUACCAGCUGGCUGCAACUGUUUAUUAAAAACACAGCACUGUGCAAACACGAAAGUGGACGUAUACGGUGUGACGCCUGCCCGGUGCCGGAAGGUUAAUUGAUGGGGUCAGCGCAAGCGAAGCUCUUGAUCGAAGCCCCGGUAAACGGCGGCCGUAACUAUAACGGUCCUAAGGUAGCGAAAUUCCUUGUCGGGUAAGUUCCGACCUGCACGAAUGGCGUAAUGAUGGCCAGGCUGUCUCCACCCGAGACUCAGUGAAAUUGAACUCGCUGUGAAGAUGCAGUGUACCCGCGGCAAGACGGAAAGACCCCGUGAACCUUUACUAUAGCUUGACACUGAACAUUGAGCCUUGAUGUGUAGGAUAGGUGGGAGGCUUUGAAGUGUGGACGCCAGUCUGCAUGGAGCCGACCUUGAAAUACCACCCUUUAAUGUUUGAUGUUCUAACGUGGACCCGUAAUCCGGGUUGCGGACAGUGUCUGGUGGGUAGUUUGACUGGGGCGGUCUCCUCCUAAAGAGUAACGGAGGAGCACGAAGGUUGGCUAAUCCUGGUCGGACAUCAGGAGGUUAGUGCAAUGGCAUAAGCCAGCUUGACUGCGAGCGUGACGGCGCGAGCAGGUGCGAAAGCAGGUCAUAGUGAUCCGGUGGUUCUGAAUGGAAGGGCCAUCGCUCAACGGAUAAAAGGUACUCCGGGGAUAACAGGCUGAUACCGCCCAAGAGUUCAUAUCGACGGCGGUGUUUGGCACCUCGAUGUCGGCUCAUCACAUCCUGGGGCUGAAGUAGGUCCCAAGGGUAUGGCUGUUCGCCAUUUAAAGUGGUACGCGAGCUGGGUUUAGAACGUCGUGAGACAGUUCGGUCCCUAUCUGCCGUGGGCGCUGGAGAACUGAGGGGGGCUGCUCCUAGUACGAGAGGACCGGAGUGGACGCAUCACUGGUGUUCGGGUUGUCAUGCCAAUGGCACUGCCCGGUAGCUAAAUGCGGAAGAGAUAAGUGCUGAAAGCAUCUAAGCACGAAACUUGCCCCGAGAUGAGUUCUCCCUGACUCCUUGA